rnacentral:siRNA from 1 species
UAUGUGGAAGUUCAAGUCU